rnacentral:lncRNA from 1 species
UCUAGACCAACAAAAUGCAGCGUGAGCUUUCGAGACUUUAAAGCUCGACCAACGCCAGUUAUCGACGUAACUCUAAAAAACAAUCGAUCUCCCUCAUGGUAACUUUUUUGACGACUCUGCGACGCUUUCAUCUUUUCUUAGAUCAUCUUGAUCUUUUCAGUCGUUUGGUGAACAAUCUCAUAUUUGAGCAUAAUACUCUCCUGACU